UACGAAGGGGGCAAGCGUUGUUCGGAAUUACUGGGCGUAAAGGGCGCGUAGGCGGCUUAUCAAGUCAGGCGUGAAAUUCCCGGGCUCAACCUGGGGGCUGCGCUUGAUACUGAUUGGCUUGAAUGCGGGAGAGGAUAGUGGAAUUCCCAGUGUAGUGGUGAAAUACGUAGAGAUUGGGAAGAACACCAGUGGCGAAGGCGGCUAUCUGGACGGUUUCUGACACUAAGACUCGAAAGCGUGGGGAGCAAACAGG
rnacentral:rRNA from 1 species